UACGAAGGGGGGCUAGCGUUGUCCGGAAUUACUGGGCGUAAAGCGCACGUAGGCGGAUAUUUAAGUCAGGGGUGAAAUCCCAGAGCUCAACUCUGGAACUGCCUUUGAUACUGGGUAUCUUGAGUAUGGAAGAGGUGAGUGGAAUUCCGAGUGUAGAGGUGAAAUUCGUAGAUAUUCGGAGGAACACCAGUGGCGAAGGCGGCUCACUGGUCCAUUACUGACGCUGAGGUGCGAAAGCGUGGGGAGCAAACAGG
rnacentral:rRNA from 1 species